UACGGAGGGGGCGAGCGUUAUUCGGAAUUAUUGGGCGUAAAGCGCACGUAGGUGGUCCCUUAAGUCGGAUGUGAAAGCCCUCGGCUCAACUGAGGAAGUGCAUCCGAAACUGAGGGGCUGGAGUAUGGUAGAGGGUCGCGGAAUUCCCGGUGUAGAGGUGAAAUUCGUAGAUAUCGGGAGGAACACCGGUGGCGAAGGCGGCUCUCUGGGUCGGACCUGACGCUGAGGCGCGAAAGCGUGGGGAGCGAACGGG
rnacentral:rRNA from 1 species